UACAGAGGAGCCAAGCGUUGUCCGGAUUGACUGGGCGUAAAGCGCACGCAGGCGGUUGCGCGCGUGGGGUGUGAAAUCUGGCCGCUUAACGGCCAGGCGCCAUCCCAUACGGCGCGACUGGAGUGAUGCAGAGGUCGAUGGAAUUGCCGGUGUAGCGGUGAAAUGCGUAGAUAUCGGGAGGAACACCUGUGGCGAAAGCGGCGCACUGGACCAUAACUGACGCUGAUGCGCGAAAGCUAGGGGAGCAAACAGG
rnacentral:rRNA from 1 species